rnacentral:rRNA from 1 species
GGACUACCGGGGUAUCUAAUCCCGUUUGCUCCCCUGGCUUUCGCGCCUCAGCGUCAGAAGAGGACCAGCAGCUCGCUUUCGCCACCGGAGUUCCUUCCAAUAUCAACGCAUUUCACCGCUCCACUGGAAGUUCCAGCUGCCCCUGCCUCCCUCCAGUCAACCAGUAUCCAAGGCACUUUUCCGGUUAAGCCGAAAGAUUUCACCCCGGACUUGGUCGACCGCCUACGCGCCCUUUAAGCCCAGUGAUUCCGAACAACGUUCGCACGGUUCGUCUUACCGCGGCUGCUGGCAC